GGUUGAAUAUCUGCUCCUCUUUUGGCGAUAAAUCAAUAUGGUCCUUCACUUGAACUGACAACGGCUGAAAUGCUGAGCCCUCCACCAUUGUUGUAACUCCGGCGUAAAACCCUAACGCCGGCGGCGGUUGUUGAAUGGAGAAGAUAGAAAAUCUCUUUAGUUUGAAGGACGGAAGAAGGAGAGAAGAAGAAGUAGAAGGGUUUGGGAAAGUGAAGAGACGAGGGCGAGUUGUAUGGAAUGUUGAAAAUGCUGCUACGGCUAUAC
rnacentral:misc_RNA from 1 species